GACGAACGCUGGCGGCGUGCUUAACACAUGCAAGUCGAACGCUGAAGCUCAGCUUUUGUUGGGUGGAUGAGUGGCGAACGGGUGAGUAACACGUGAGUAACCUGCCCCCUUCUUUGGGAUAACGCCCGGAAACGGGUGCUAAUACUGGAUAUUCACUGGUCUUCGCAUGGGGGUUGGUGGAAAGGGUUUUUCUGGUGGGGGGUGGGCUCGCGGCCUAUCGGCUUGUUGGUGGGGUGAUGGCCUACCAAGGCUUUGACGGGUGGCCGGCCUGAGAGGGUGACCGGUCACUUUGGGACUGAGAUACGGCCCAGGCUCCUACGGGGGGCAGCAGUGGGGACUAUUGCCCAAUGGGUGCAAGCCUGAUGCAGCGACGCCGCGGGAGGGAUGGAGGCCUUCGGGUUGUGAACCUCUUUCGCUAAUGGUCAAGCCGCAACAAUGGUUGUGGUGAGGGUAGUGGGUAAAGAAGCGCCGGCUAACUACGUG
rnacentral:rRNA from 1 species